CCCAAUCACAUGCUCACGCUUUUAGCAUUUAGGUGACCACAUGAGCGAGCGCAUGCCCAUGUGGCAUCAAUGAUACUAGUUUUCCAGCUUUUACCGUUUCACAAUAGAAGUAGUGUGAUUACACACCUUUUCCAUCAACAUACUCCAUUAGUUAAUAACAAUAAGAUUAACAUCCCUUCUCAUACUUGUCAUAAUUACUUUACUAGUACUUGCCUUUAUCACACCAAAGAAAAUUCCACCCUCAAACCAAUACACG
rnacentral:lncRNA from 1 species